rnacentral:tRNA from 3 species
GGGGGUGUAGCUCAGUUGGUUAGAGCGCAGGCCUGUCACGCCUGAGGUCGCGGGUUCGAGCCCCGUCACUCCCGCCA